GCCCCCGCAACCUAACAUGGUAAACGAUGCGGGUCUUUCGGCGGGUAUAGAGUUCUUGGUGAAAGAGACGGCGCCACUCCCGAACCUGUUACAUUUCAAACCCGUUAAACUCCGAACUUGACUCUCUUUUAAUUUGUUUGUUUGUUUCUCGAGGAGAAGGAAGGAAAUCAAAUGGGUUGCAUCUCUUCUAAACUGCUCGCCGUCGCCGAAGUCGGCGAGGAGCUUCUCUUCUCUGGCGACGCAGGCCCCGACGGCGACUGCCCGAACCAUUUCGUCUCCCUCACCUCUACCACCUACGGGGCCCUCAGCCUCGAUCGCGGCGACGAGAAAGCCAAUAAUCCCAAGGCGCCAGCAGAGAAGGAAGUCGAACCGGAUGCAGCCUCGGCGUCGGAGUGCGGCCAGCCGUCCCCUCCCCAUGUCGACAAGAAGAGCACCGCGGCAGAGGAAGAGCGCCCCUCGGAGAUCAUCGACGCGCGGGAGCUCAUGGGGGACCUGGCCGACGAGACCCCUAGCCGGUCGCCACCGCAGAAGAAGAGGCCACACAAACCCUCGUCUGCAUUGCGCCGGUCGCCCGCGGUGAGGGCCGCGAUGUCGCCCGUGAUGCCAAGGAAUUGGUUCGCCGGGAAGGAGAACACCCCGCUGCGGCUGGAGCCCAAAAGGUCGGAUCAUGACGCCUACCGUGCCUCGAAGCCGUUCCGUUCCUUGGACAACACGCCGUGGACCAACCUCGUUUCGGCAAUCUCGAAGAAGGGCACCCCCAACAGCGCACGGAGCAACAACUCCAAUAGAGAUUUCAGUAACUCCAAGUCGAGGCGGAGCCUGAGCCCCUUGUUCGAUCCGGAGCUCCUCGCUCGUUUCGAGCGGGAGCACUGCGAGGAAGGGGAGCAGAUCAAGAGGAUGGUGCACGUCAAGAUCUGCGAUUCUGUUAUCCUGCUUCAAUCCUUCGAGGAGAAGUGUCCCCCAGGAGGUGAGGACACCGUGGUCCUCUACACCACCACGCUCAGAGGGAUCAGGAAGACCUUUGAGGAUUGCAACACAGUCAGGUCCUUGAUCGAGUCCUACGGCGGCCACAUCGUGGAGAGGGACAUCUCCAUGGACUCCGGGUACAGGGAGGAACUACGGCUGCUGAUGGGGAGGAAGGAGGUGAAGGUCCCGAUCGUCUUCGUCAAGGGCAGGUGUGUCGGUGGUGCCGAGGAGAUCGUGAGAUUGGAAGAAGAAGAUGAGUUGGGGCUUUUGCUGGAGGGGCUUCCGAGGGCGACAAAGUGGUGCGAGGGCUGCGGCGGGUUGCGAUUUGUGAUGUGCAUGGACUGCAAUGGCAGCUGCAAGGUGUUGGAUUCCGAGGAGAAGAAGGUGAAGUGUGAAGGGUGCAAUGAGAACGGCUUGAUCCAUUGCCCCAUAUGUUGCUGAGACGAAAAUAGAGAAAGAUUUGGCACUUCCCUUCACGAGAAACAAUUGGCUUCCUUAUUUUCCUGAUCACAGAAAGUUUGUGCAUUCGAGAAGCCAAUUGUUUUGUUGUAGUUGUUUAUUCUUGAGGAAUCUUUUGGCUAAUUCCAGCUCUCCUUUUGUGGUCAACGAAAAGCUAUGUCUCUAAACUUGACAGUGACAUUCAUAGAAGUUCAGGGGGCUUUACUUCCAGCCAACUCAAACAUUAUUUGCAAAAGAGAUGCCAGUGAAAUCUUUUGAAGAUGAAUGACAUGGAUUUUGGCUGUGCAAACCAAUCCAUUAGAUUUCUUUGUGACCUUGGAACGAACCUUGUGAUGACUGUAUUGACAAAUAUCUUCCCACCAAGAAGAAUCAUGCUAGAAGGAUCAGCCAGGCCAAUUUCUUUCAAGUUUGCGCCUAACUCAGGAAAAAAUCGAGACAAAAGAAAGUGGAAGCAACAGUUGCUGUUUAUAAUUGUGUCUCUCAAACAAUGUCUCUUUCAUGAUCCAUGUUCAUAUUCUUUAUUUCCAGAUCAGUCAGGAUCAGGAUGCAUAAUUCUAUUCCAGAUGCUAAUCUCCCUCUGCAAUCACAACACAGCAGCAGUCUUAUCACAUUUCUUGAGCUGACUUUGCCAAGCCGCAAGUUUGAAUUUGAUGGUCACUACAUCUUUUAUUCCAUUGACUUGGUUGCUGCUUCUUGGAGGCUCAACUCACAAAAAUGCUUUGUCAGUGCAUGUUCUAAUUGUGCGUGCCAUUGCCAGAGUUUGUUCCUGGUGGCAAUGAGUUGGUUUUUGUGCCUCGACUUCCAUAUUUCAAGCACUAUAUAUCAAGAAGAAGGUAUUUUAUUGGGUAGAAAAGUAUGGUGUUUUAAAGGGAUCAGGUGACUUAUAGGCAGUCCAUAAUCAUCAUCAUUGUCAGCAUCAUCAUCGAUAGUUUCCAUGAGAAUAAAAUGGUUGGAGUUCUGAUCAUCCUGUUGCAAUUUAACUAAAAU